rnacentral:rRNA from 1 species
UACGGGGGGAGCAAGCGUUGUUCGGAUUUACUGGGCGUAAAGGGCGCGUAGGCGGCCACUGCAAGUCGAUUGUGAAAUCUCCGGGCUUAACCCGGAAAGGUCAACCGAUACUGCGGGGCUAGAGUGCAGAAGGGGCAACUGGAAUUCUCGGUGUAGCGGUGAAAUGCGUAGAUAUCAGGAGGAACACCGGUGGCGAAGGCGGGACUCUGGGCCGAUACUGACGCUGAGGAGCGAAAGCGUGGGGAGCAAACAGGA